GGCGGUGUAGCUCAGUUGGUUAGAGCAGAGGAAUCAUAAUCCUUGUGUCCGGGGUUCGAGUCCCUGCACCGCCA
rnacentral:tRNA from 1 species